rnacentral:rRNA from 1 species
GACGAACGCUGGCGGCGUGCUUAAUACAUGCAAGUCGAACGGAAAGGCCCUGCUUUUGUGGGGUGCUCGAGUGGCGAACGGGUGAGUAACACGUGUGUAACCUGUCCUUGACUUUGGGAUAAAUUCACGAAACUCGGGCUAAUACCGGAUAGGAUCUCCUGCUGCACGGUGGGGGAUGGAAAGUUUCGGCGGUUGGGGAUGGACUCGAGGGUUAUCAGCUUGAUGGUGGGGUAGUGGAUUACCAAGGGUAUGACGGGUAGGCGGCCUGAGAGGGUGGCCAGCGACAUUGGGACUGAGAGAGGGCCCAGACGGCUAUGGGACGCAGCAGUGGGGAAUAUUGCACAAUGGGGGGGAGCCUGAGGCGGCAACGCCGGGUGCGGGAUGACGGGCUUCGGGUUGUGAACCUAUUUCGCCUGUGCCGAAGCGAGAGUGACGGUAAUGGGUAAGGAAGCACCGGCUAACUACGUG